UGCUAAGACUGGAUAGGAAAUAAAAAGGCAUCUUUUUAUUUUUAAAAGACCUUUUUCGGAAGGUAUGCUUAAAGAGGGGCUUGCGUCACAUUAGUUAGUUGGCAGGGUAAAGGCCUACCAAGACUAUGAUGUGUAGCUGGACUGAGAGGUUGAACAGCCACAUUGGGACUGAGACACGGCCCAAACUCCUACGGGAGGCAGCAGUAGGGAAUUUUCGGCAAUGGAGGAAACUCUGACCGAGCAACGCCGCGUGAACGAUGAAGUAUUUCGGUAUGUAAAGUUCUUUUAUUGAAGAAGAAAAAAUAGUGGAAAAACUAUCUUGACGAUAUUCAAUGAAUAAGCCCCGGCAAACUAUGUGCCAGCAGCCGCGGUAAUACAUAGGGGGCGAGCGUUAUCCGGAAUUAUUGGGCGUAAAGGGUGCGUAGGCGGUUUAAUAAGUCUAUAGUUUAAUUUCAGUGCUUAACACUGUCCUGCUAUAGAAACUAUUAGACUAGAGUGAGAUAGAGGCAAGUGGAAUUCCAUGUGUAGCGGUAAAAUGCGUAAAUAUAUGGAGGAACACCAGAGGCGUAGGCGGCUUGCUGGGUCUUUACUGACGCUGAGGCACGAAAGCGUGGGGAGCAAACAGGAUUAGAUACCCUGGUAGUCCACGCCGUAAACGAUGAGUACUAAGUGUCGGGAUUACUCGGUACUGAAGUUAACACAUUAAGUACUCCGCCUGAGUAGUACGUACGCAAGUAUGAAACUUAAAGGAAUUGACGGGACUCCGCACAAGCGGUGGAUCAUGUUGUUUAAUUCGAAGAUACACGAAAAACCUUACCAGGUCUUGACAUACUCUGCAAAGCUAUAGCAAUAUAGUGGAGGUUAUCAGGGAUACAGGUGGUGCAUGGUUGUCGUCAGCUCGUGUCGUGAGAUGUUAGGUUAAGUCCUAAAACGAGCGCAACCCUUGUCAUUAGUUGCCAGCAUGUCAUGAUGGGCACUUUAAUGAGACUGCCAAUGAAAAAUUGGAGGAAGGUGAGGAUCACGUCAAAUCAUCAUGCCCCUUAUGAUCUGGGCUACAAACGUGAUACAAUGGCUGUUACAAAGAGUAGCUGAAACGCAAGUUUAUAGCCAAUCUCAUAAAAGCAGUCUCAGUUCGGAUUGAAGUCUGCAACUCGACUUCAUGAAGUUGGAAUCGCUAGUAAUCGCGAAUCAGCAUGUCGCGGUGAAAUACGUUCUCGGGGUUUGUACACACCGCCCGUCA
rnacentral:rRNA from 1 species